GCAGCUCGUCCAUCGCUGCUCUGCGCCUGCGCGCGUCUCAUUAAAUAUUCAUGAGGAGGGACGCUGGUCCAAUCGGUUGCGAGUGAAUUAAUACUGAGCGCGAGCUGCAGCUGGAGUCGGUGUUACAGAGGGUCAAGUACUUCAGAGGACAGAAGCUGAAUGACGAGUAUGAGAUCCAUGUGGAGCAGGCUGAUGUUUCUGAAUCAGGAGCGUCUGUCUGGAUCUUUGGUGGUCUGGAUGUUCGGUGUGAAACGCUCCUCAGCAGCAUCUUCAUCACGGCUCCGGACAGAUUAACCAGCGUAACACAAACAGUCACAUUUUUCCAUCUCCGUCUCAGACUGAUGUCCUGAACUGCACUCAGAGUAAAUGCAGAAAUAACACUAACCCGUGAGCUAAAAUUCAUCUCAGACCCUAAAACGGCGAUUAAUCAAUCUGUGUAUCAGUCGGUUUCAGAUAAGUCUGCUUUUAGGUCGCAGAAUCCGGUUUUUAAAUACCAUGUCCAUAUACAGUCACCUGUCCUUCUUUUAAGAUCGUUAUUUUACAUAAUUUGUAUAGUAGUAGUAGCCUAAUUCAUAGUAACAACUCAUGGCUUUUCA